ensembl:lncRNA
AAAUAAAUAAAUAAAUAAAUAAAUAAUACACUGUAGUUAUUUAAUAAAUUCCGAAAUACUGACUAAAAUAUCGUUCAUGAGAACUUGAGAGUCUAGGAACUAAAGAAAACAUUGAUGUGGGCGUGGCUAUGCAGAUUGGAUGCGCUUGGUUGCCGUGGUGCUCUGAGGUAAAGUUGUGUGAGUGCAGUUUUAGCAGCGCGGCUAACAGCCCAAAAACGCGGACACAGAGGACAUGACGCGCAGAAAUAAACUCAUAUUUACUACCAGGAUAGAUUUACACCGUGGAAUCAGUCGUAACGUGUAAAUUUAUGGAAACACGAGCGAAAAAAUAUGAAGACGCUUCGUUUUGUUUUGUUUUUUAAUUUUAUGGCGGUUGCUUUCAUCCGGAUGAGUCGCGUGCGCGCGCGUUCAGGCAGGUAGGAACUAAAGUUGUGAGUGUGGAAAUGAAGAAACCUCGGCCCACACAUGCCUUUGGAGCGAUGAGCGAUAGAAUCGAGAAAAUCCGAAUGCAUAGGCCGCUUUGCUGAAUGCAGUUCUUCACUUCCAGCACAACUCAUCUCCUCCU